rnacentral:rRNA from 1 species
GGAAAGCUGCGGCAAGUACGGAAAAGCUCUGGGACGUCUUCCAGGAAAAGCUUCUAGCAUAUCGAGAUGGGCCCGUACCGAAAAUGGACACACAUGGGCAAGGAGAGGAUCCUGAGGUGAGCGAGAGAACUAUAGCUAAGGAACUCUGCAAAAUGACCCCGUAACCUAGGGAGAAGGGGUGCUCGUCAGAGACGAGCCGCAGAAAAACGGCCCAAGCGACUGUUUACCAAAAACACAGCUCUCUGCGAAGGCGCAAGCCGAAGUAUAGGGGGUGACGCCUGCCCGGUGCUGGAAGGUCAAGGGGAGUGGUCAGCGCAAGCGAAGCCAUGAUCCGAAGCCCCAGUAAACGGCGGCCGUAACUAUAACGGUCCUAAGGUAGCGAAAUUCCUUGUCAGGUAAGUUCUGACCCGCACGAAAGGCGUAACGAUUUGGGCGCUGUCUCGGCUGUAGACUCGGUGAAGUCUUAGUACCUGUGAAGAUGCAGGUUGCCCGCGACUAGACGGAAAGACCCCAUGGAGCUUCACUGCAGGUUGACAUUGGGCCUGGGUGCAUGAUGUACAGGAUAGGUGGGAGGCAGAGAGACGGGUUCGCCAGGAUCCGAGGAGCCGCCGUUGGGAUACCACCCUUCAUGCAUCUAGGUUCUAACCGGAGGCCAUGAACUGGCCACGGGACAGUGUCAGUCGGGCAGUUUGACUGGGGCGGUCGCCUCCCAAAGAGUAACGGAGGCGCCCAAAGAUACCCUCAGCGUGGAUGGAAACCACGCAUCGAGUGCAAAGGCAUAAGGGUGUCUGACUGCGAGACAUACAGGUCGAGCAGGGACGAAAGUCGGGCUUAGUGAUCCGGCGGUUCCGAAUGGAAGGGCCGUCGCUCAACGGAUAAAAGCUACCCUGGGGAUAACAGGCUGAUCUCCCCCAAGAGUUCACAUCGACGGGGAGGUUUGGCACCUCGAUGUCGGCUCAUCGCAUCCUGGAGCUGAAGUCGGUUCCAAGGGUUGGGCUGUUCGCCCAUUAAAGCGGUACGCGAGCUGGGUUCAGAACGUCGUGAGACAGUUCGGUCCCUAUCUGUCGUGGGCGCAGGAGGUCUGAGGAGAGCUGCCCUCAGUACGAGAGGACCGGGGUGGACGGACCGAUGGUGCACCAGUUGUCACGCCAGUGGCACAGCUGGGUAGCCAAGUCCGGAAGGGAUAAGCGCUGAAGGCAUCUAAGCGCGAAGCCCCCUCCAAGAUGAGACCUCCCAUUGCGCAAGCAAGUAAGACCCCUCGAAGACGACGAGGUUGAUAGACCGGGAGUGCAAGCAUGGCGACAUGUUCAGCGGACCGGCACUAAUAGGUCGAGGACUUGACCG